ensembl:lncRNA
GAAAGAUUCACAGAAGGUUGGCUUCAGGAAAGAAUUCCCUCAGAAAAGAUCAAAACAGGAAACGAAGAGAGAAGUAUGCUUCAAAUCCAACAUACAGAGAAAGUAAAAAGUGUUAUUCCAGAAGAAGUUAUGCAACUGAAACAGUGAAAGAGAGAAAGAGAAAUCAAGUUAAAAAGUCCUACAGAGACAAUCCUGCUGUCAGACAAAAACACAGAGAUUCGAUGAGAAAUUUAUACAGAAACAGUGCUGAAAUCCGACAGAAGAAAAGGCAGUACAUCAGAGACCAAUACAGAAGUGAUCCUGUAUUCCAGCAGAAACAGAGACAAUACAUCAGAGACCAGUACAGAAGUGAUCCUGUAUUCCAGCAGAAACAGAGACAAUACAUCAACUCACAAUACAGAAACUCUGAAAUCUUCAGACAGCAGCGAAAAUCUUAUAUGACACGACGUUAUUUCCAGGACCAAACAUUCAGAAGGAAACAGACUGCUAAUGAGAAAGUUAAUGCAAGAGAGGCAUAGAAACAAUCUGGCAUUUAGAACAAUGCAUAAUAUGAGAUGUGCCUUGAAGAUAAGACGUAAAUACCGUCAGAUUCACCGACAACCACAGCAACAAGACAACAGUUUGGUUGGACAGGCCAUCUCCAUUUUCAGGUCUCAGAUCAAGGCUGGACCAACAUUCGUAUGUACUGUGUGUCUUAAAGCUUCAUUUCCUAAUCAAGUUAAAGUUUGUACCAGAACAAAGUAUUUGAAAAAUCCUAACUUGGUGGCAGCUUGCCUCACUGGAAAGUUUGUUCAUCACUGUAAUGAGAGCUGCAGAAGUGAAGAACAGUGCAAAGUUCCUGAUGAAAGGAAGAAAGAGUGGAUCUGUCAUACCUGCCAUGAUCACCUGAGACGAGGAGCCAUGCCCUCCCUGGCUAUACACAAUAACUUAGAGCUUGUUGACAUCCCAUCAGAGCUGUCAGACUUGAACAUUUUAGAGAGACAUCUGAUCAGCAAGUGCAUCCCUUUUGCUAAGAUCAUUCCUCUUCCUAAAGGCAGACAGAGUGCAAUCCGUGGAAAUGUGGUGUGUGUCCCAUCUGAGAUCCAGGAAACAGUUGAAGCUUUGCCCAGACUGAGAAGUGAAUCCCAGAUCAUGAGAGUGAAACUGAAGAGACGCCUGUGUUACCGAGGACAUCAGCUCUUCCAGACUGUCACCUGGUCUAAACUGAUGCAGGCCCUGCAUAAACUCAAACAGAUUCACCCACAGUAUUCUGAAAUCACUAUCAGAGAUGAAGCUGAGCUGUGUGACCCCACCCUGCCUGAUGAUGAUGAUGAUGAAGGGAUGGAAGAGGAGUUUGAUGAAGCAGACUUGAUGGAGAUUGACAGGUUUGAGAAAGAUGCUCUGUGUGAAAAUGAGGCUGAGGAUGGUUUAGAUGUUCUGUCAUGUGAUGGUGAAGAACCAGAGAACAGACCUGAAGAACAGCAGGAAGGUGACAUGCCCAAUGGUGGCUUUGCUCUGGAAUCUUGUCUUCAACCUCCUAAUGUAGCAGAGGAAAUCAUGUCUUUCAGUGAAGGA